UACGUAGGGUGCAAGCGUUGUCCGGAAUUAUUGGGCGGAAAGAGCUCGUAGGCGGUCUGUCACGUCUGCUGUGAAAACUCGGGGCUUAACCCCGGGCCUGCAGUGGGUACGGGCAGACUAGAGUGCGGUAGGGGAGACUGGAAUUCCUGGUGUAGCGGUGAAAUGCGCAGAUAUCAGGAGGAACACCGGUGGCGAAGGCGGGUCUCUGGGCCUGUUCUGACGCUGAGGCGCGAAAGCUAGGGGAGCGAACAGG
rnacentral:rRNA from 1 species